ACAGUACAAACUGAACAGGCGAUGGCCACCCGGCCAUUUGCCGGGCCACCAUGGCAGCAGGCGUUAAGCAUCUGCGGGACAGU
rnacentral:ncRNA from 1 species